GAUGAACGCUGGUGGCGUGCUUAACACAUGCAAGUCGUACGGUAAGGCCCUUUCGGGGGUACACGAGUGGCGAACGGGUGAGUAACACGUGAGUAACCUGCCCACAACUUUGGGAUAACGCUAGGAAACUGGUGCUAAUACUGGAUAUGUGCUCCUGCUGCAUGGUGGGGGUUGGAAAGCUCCGGCGGUUGUGGAUGGACUCGCGGCCUAUCAGCUUGUUGGUGGGGUAGUGGCCUACCAAGGCGGCGACGGGUAGCCGGCCUGAGAGGGUGACCGGCCACAUUGGGACUGAGAUACGGCCCAGACUCCUACGGGAGGCAGCAGUGGGGAAUAUUGCACAAUGGGCGCAAGCCUGAUGCAGCAACGCCGCGUGCGGGAUGACGGCCUUCGGGUUGUAAACCGCUUUCAGCAGGGACGAAGCUUUUUGUGACGGUACCUGCAGAAGAAGCACCGGCUAACUACGUG
rnacentral:rRNA from 1 species